CACGUAGGGCGCGAGCGUUGUCCGGAAUUAUUGGGCGUAAAGAGCUCGUAGGCGGCCUGUUGCGUCCGCUGUGAAAGCCCGGGGCUUAACCCCGGGUCGCAGGUGGAUACGGGCAGGCUAGAGGUAGGUAGGGGAGAAUGGAAUUCCCGGUGUAGCGGUGAAAUGCGCAGAUAUCGGGGAGGAACACCGGUGGCGAAGGCGGUUCUCUGGGCCUUACCUGACGCUGAGGAGCGAAAGCGUGGGGAGCGAACAGG
rnacentral:rRNA from 1 species